rnacentral:lncRNA from 1 species
GCAGUUUUGUUGAAAGCCAGACAUGAUAUUCUGGGUAAAAGGAACUUGGGUGAGCAGGUGUUCAGUGACGCUGUGCUCGUGUCCUUGGUCUCUUGCCUCGGCGCCUGGGUGACCUGCCGCCCACAAACCAGGACCAGGGAGACCUGAAAACCUUCCCACAGACCAAAAUCUCCCCCUCUGAGAUGUGGAUGCCCAAGAAAAAGGAAAGAGAACUUAGGACUGGUCUCAGGCCUGCAGAUGUCUAAUAAUAACGCCAGCCGUCCCCUGGUGGAGAAGAGGCAGCUGUGGCUGCAGAGAGACCUCGUGUGACUCUAAUCUGACACCUUUGACUUGUGUGACCCUAGUCGGUGACUGUCUCCCUGUUCCUCAAUUUUUUUUUUCAAUAAGUAGGAUAAGUGCUAUUUGGCUGUGACGUUGUUUGUGAAUUAAUCUCAAAAUAUUUACAAUUACUUGACCUCAGCUGUGUAUAGAGGAGCUGCCCAAAGGAACAGCAUCUAUGCUUAUUUGCCUCCAAAAGAGAGGUCCCUGAGUCUGAUCCCUUGUGGAAAAGGAGCUGCUGGGAGCAUCUUCUCUCUUCUUUUUCCUCCCCCUGGGGAUACUGAACUUCCCAUGGAGUCAUCUAAGUUCCCCUGGGCAGUGGGCUCAUGCCCUAGUAAUCUUGUCCAUCUGUUCACUCCAUGCUGAGUCUCAGGUAAAGGAUGAGGCCCUGUCCUUGCCCAGGAGAGGUUCUUGGGGCUGGACCCUGGCUGGUGACCAACUCCAGGAGCCACGACCCUCAGACAGCUGGUAAAUUCUUGCUCCCAGUCAGCCCUGCCCAGGAGGCCUCACUCAGCCCUGGCACAGGAUCCCUAGGGUCCCCAGGGUCACCUGGAGUCAGGAAUCUGGGACAGGGAUUUGCACAGGGGCUCAGUUCUGGGAAGAGUUGAGCUUCUCUCUGAGAAUCCUAGGGGGACCCCUCAGGCCAGGCCCUGAUCCAGUUCUCCAGGGUCUUUCUUAGGGUCAGGUCCAUGGGGAGACCAUGGGGUUCUUUUCUGACACUGACCUUGCCCUGCUGAGUCCCCCCAUCAGACUGUCCUUCCUCUGCAGCGAGUGUCUGCAGGGUCUGGAUGCAGGAAAGGAAUUCUGAUCUGUGGAAGUUUGUCUCCCCCGUGUGUGUCCUGCACUAAAUGUCCAAACCCUGAUACAGAAUGUAAUGCAGAGAGGGCCACAGGCACAGCCCAGGCCUGACAAUCCCAUAUGUGGGAAGUAGAACUGACCCCCAACACCCAGAGGUCAUGUGGAAAUACUCACGGUAUACAUGGAACUGUCCAGUUGCUUCUUCAUUCACAAGAUCUGACUUUAUGACUUGUAGGGUGUAGAAUC